GUCAAUAAACAUUCACUGGAAUGCAAGCAUGGCCUCUCACUUCUGUCUAUAUCUUCUUUCAUGUUACAGGAACAGAGUUAAUGAACCUUUAUCAAAACUAUGCAUUAUGAAGGGGAUGCUGUCGUCCAUAUGCAUUAUAAAGGGGGCACUAUCAUCCAUAUGCAUUAUAAAGAGGAUAUUAUCAUAAUCAUUUUAUAACAAUGAAAAUCUAGGCAAAUCUUGGAUUAGAUUUAAGAUGAGGAAUUGAGAGAAUCCAUCAGAGAUUAAGCUCAUGGGACAAGGAAGAUCUCUAUACCUCUAUCUAUGUUUAUAUAUUGGAUCUUGACAGAGAAUCCCAGAGUAAGUCAGAAUUUGUCCAUCUUAGGCCAAAUUUCAAGGCUUAUUCCAUAGCAAAGUUCCUCUUGCCCAAUUUCUUCUUUUUUUUCAAGAGAGACAAGGGGUCCCAUCUGUUCCCUGAGAGUGGCACAUCAUAUACUUAACUCCGGAGGCAAAUAACAGACAUCCAGACUCUUUUCAAGAUUAAAGAACCAUGACACAAGGCUUGGACUCAUGCAGAGCAAGGCUGGAGAGAAGAGUGGAAGAGGGUGAAAGCAAUCAAUAUUUCUGGAAAAGCCUGAGAUCUGUUUGCUGAGCUGAAGAGGGGUUGGUGGAAAGUUGAUGGAAAGUGUAACUGCCGACCUCAAAGGUUCUGGGCUAACGAAGACAGCACAGCUCCUCAGAACUCAGACUUCUCUUCUGAAGUCUUGUUUUCAGGACACAGACUACACAUGGUUUGCCCAAGUGUACAACAUCGUAGUCUUUUUUCCCCCUUGCUCCUAAAGCCACCACUCAGACCUACUCCUCUGCCUAGUGAUAAUUCAGAUACUCCCGUUGCAAUCAUUUUUACUCCAGCCCUACAAACCCCAAGUGUCACGGGUAUCAUGGCCUGGGUGCGUUCACACAGGUCUGUGAAAUGAACACUCAGAGACACGUUGAGAAUGAACAUAACCUUAGCAGUCACAAGGGUCCUCAGCCUUGGUGGACUGAAGCACUUUCUCUUAGCUCUUCAGCAUUCUUACAUUUCCCUAUAUUUACACUUCAGCCAGUAGAUUUUCCUAUGCUCAAAACAACCUGAAUGAAGCUUUCAGAGAUACUCUGUCAAGUGCAAAUACCUGAUUCAUGAAGUAUCACGGUUUUCUGGGUUUUCCCUAACCAAGUUUUACAUAUGCCUUAUAUCCAUGGGACAAGAUUUGCAUAGGGCAACAAAAGGUGUCUGUAACAUAACGGAUGGAUUAGGGUUGGGUUCUAACUCUGGAGCUAGGCUAGGUAUGGCCCAUUGCGGGUUUAUGGCUAGUUGCAGGUGAGGGGAAUGGAGUGGGAGGUGUUGUUGUUGUUUGCUAUCCCUCUGGUGCCAGGCUGGCAAGAUAUUCUGCCACACCCAAGCUUUAUUCUGUGCUUUUUUUUGGGUUCAAGUUCAGGCAUCUCUUCCUGAGCACCUUUGAGACUGAUAAAAGCAAUGUGGAUUUUUUCUUUAACUGGUUAGAUUUAUGAAAUAUUAGUAUUUUUAUAUUUUAGCUUUUGUUUGAAUCAUUAUGCAGGUGGAGUUUUCCUGUGCUGGCAGCUACUACCCAUGAAGAAACUUAAUGUUAAUUGUAAAUGCUUGGCUGAUAGCUCAGACUUGUAACUAGAUGACUCUUACAUUUUAAAUUAGCCCAUAUUCCUUAUCUACCCUCUGCCACAUGACUUCAGUUUUUACAUGUCCUGCUUCCCCCGUGUCUGCUAACAUUUCCUCUGACUCCACCCUUCUUCAUCUCAGCAUCCUUAGUUUGGUUGUGCCACCUAUACUUCCUGCCUAGCUAUCAGCCAGUCAGCAUUUUAUUAAACCAAUUCAAGUGACAAAUCUUUACAGUAUAAAAAGGACUAUUCCAUAGAAUCAUUAUAUACUGAGUUCUAGGCCAGCCUAGGUUAGAGAGUGAGACCCUGGCUUAAAACAAGACAAGACAAAUAAAAACAAAA